GACGAACGCUGGCGGCGUGCUUAACACAUGCAAGUCGAACGAUGAAGCCGGAGCUUGCUCUGGUGAAUUAGUGGCGAACGGGUGAGUAACACGUGAGUAACCUGCCCUUGACUCUGGGAUAACUGCGGGAAACUGUAGCUAAUACCGGAUACGACCCUCGGAGGCAUCUCCUGGGGGUGGAAAGAAUUUGGGUCAAGGAUGGACUCGCGGCCUAUCAGCCAGUUGGUGAGGUAAAGGCUCACAAAGGCGACGACGGGUAGCCGGCCUGAGAGGGUGACCGGCCACACUGGGACUGAGACACGGCCCGGACUCCUACGGGAGGCAGCAGUGGGGAAUAUUGCACAAUGGGCGCAAGCCUGAUGCAGCAACGCCGCGUGAGGGAUGACGGCCUUCGGGUUGUAAACCUCUUUUAGCAGGGAAGAAGCGAAAGUGACGGUACCUGCAGAAAAAGCACCGGCUAACUACGUGCCAGCCGCCGCAGUAA
rnacentral:rRNA from 1 species